rfam:Triticum urartu cultivar G1812 contig604804, whole genome shotgun sequence.
CAAAUACUCCCUCCGUCUGAAAAUACUUGUCAUCAAAAUGGGUAAAAGAAAUGUAUCUAGACGUAUUUUAGUUUUAGAUACAUCCCUUUUUAUUCAUUUUUAUGACAAGUAUUUUCGGACGGAGGGAGUAGAAA